rnacentral:lncRNA from 1 species
UAAUACCAAGAAUCCGAUCAAGAAAAUGGACGAUGGAAAUUCUGAGAUCUCGCUUGAUCGUUCUGGUCCGUUUUACUUCAUCAGCGGCAAUGAAGAUAACUGUAAGAAGGGACAAAAGCUUACUGUCGUCGUCUUGUCUGUUAGAAGUCCCGCUCCUCCUCCUCAAGCUGCUGCUCCGGGACAUUCUCCUCCGGGAUCAAUGGCACCUAAAGGGCUCUUCCCCUGUUUCUCCGACGACUUCUCCUCCCGGUUCAAUGGCACCUAAGUCCUCUUCCCCUGUUUCUCCGACGACUUCUCCGCCGGCACCUAAAUCCUCUUCCCCUGUUUCUCCGUCCUCUGCUCCGGUGACUUCUCCGCCGGGUUCAAUGUCACCUAAAUCUUCUUCCCCUGGUUCUCCGAUGGCUUCUCCGCCAGCACCUCAAACACCUAAAUCAUCUUCCCCGUCCACUGCUCCGGGCUCUUCACAGCCGGGAUCAAUGGCACCAAAAUCUUCUUCCGCUCUUUCUCCAUCUUCUGCUCCGGGAGGAUCUCCUUCCUCUGUUUCUUCUUCGCCGACAGCCAACUCGCCGUCGGGGAUGGGUCCCUCGGGAGAUGGUCCAUCAGGUUCGGCGAUGGGUCCCUCCGGAGAUGGUC